rnacentral:misc_RNA from 1 species
AAAAAAUGGCAACAAAAACUUGAAAGGACUUGACAGGCAUGUUAUUGAUUAACUAAAUUGAAAAUUGAUCAUGACAUGAGCUAGUAACAGUGGAACACAACUCACAAUAAUAGAAUCUUAUUAGACAAAAACUUGUAAACACCAUAGAAAAAGGCUUCUAAACUUGUAGACUAUGUCCAAUGCUGCCGAAAUUGAAUUUCGGGCCAACUUAGCACAUAAGAAUUCCAAUCAGCUCAUUUAAGCCUAAAUUACAUAGCACAGGUGAUUCGCGCAAGAGAAAUUAAAGAAAAAAAGCUCAUGGACAACUAUGAACAGGUGAAACCAGUUUACUCUCCCUUCCUCCCUUCCUCAACAAAGCACAACACUGGCCAAAAAAAAACAAAUUCAUCCUCAUCUUCUCAACAAUUUCAACAAGGCAAAUCACAAUCAACUAUCACCAAAUAAAGGCUUUCAAUAUAUCACAAAUAAACAACCAACAAUCAAAAUUUUCCCAUAAAUUCCAAAAACUCGAUUAAAAACCAAAAAUAAAAACACAAAUCAAGGCUUCCCUUUAAUCAUAAGCCACAAAAACCCAAAGAGUAUUACAGGACUGCCUAGGUGGAAGUUUCAUCACUUCAUUCACAAUGAGACGUGCUGGCCACUCUCAAUUCAAGAACCUAGCUCGAAAUUGUAGGGUUGCAACUCCUUCCUUCUCUGCUUCUUUUCUCUUCUCUCCAAUCAGAUUCAACUGAUGUCUUUGCUCUUUGUCUUCAACCUUCACCAUAGCGAAAAAAGUCUAAGUUUUGAAAAGAAAAAGAAAAUUUUAUGUAGUGAGUCUCGUAAUUGUAGGAGGGUCGUGGGCAUCAUGACUGUAAAAGGAAGGGGAAGCUGCAGGGGCUUGCUAGUCCUGACUGCAGAAGGAAGGAGGAACUAUGAGUAUUGCAAUGACAGUAACAGAGGGAGAGGACUAAAGAGGGGUCACGAUUCUGAAUUUUUGUUUUACCUCACACUUCUUUGCAGUCAGUGUAACACAGAUGAGGGUUUUUAAGCUUAAAUGAUCUGAUUGGAAUAGUUGUGUGCUAAUUUGUCCAAAAAGCUCAAUUUGGAUAACAUUGAACAUGGUCUAUAUGUCCAGGUGCCAAAUUGAACUUUAUGCCAUAAGGAAAACACCAUCCUUCCAAGCAUAUCCCUCCAAACUACUGCUCUAAAUGAAUAAUUCCGAGGCUAAGCUAAAAAGCAACUAACAGAUAACAAAGAUAUUCAAAACCCAAAAUGCAUUAAACAGCGAAUAAUCAUUUAAAGGACCAAAACAUUGAGAAUUCCUGCCUGUAACCCCAAACCCAACAACAG